GCAAGAUACCACGGGCGCACGGCGGAUGCCUUGGCACAGGGAGCCGAUGAAGGACGCGGCAAGCUGCGAUAAUCCCCGGCGAGGAGCACACAUCCUUCGACCCGGGGGUCUCCGAAUGGGCGAACCCAUGCACAGCAGUGUGCAUAUCCCCCCGCUGAACACAUAGGCGGGGGGAGGACAACCCGGGGAACUGAAACAUCUAAGUACCCGGAGGAGAGGAAAUCAAUCUCGAGACUCCCCGAGUAGCGGCGAGCGAAAGGGGACCGAUGGCCAAACCGUCGAGCGGGCAUACCCGGCAGGGGUUCCGCCGACGGGGUUGAAGGGCCGCGCAUCCGGGGGCUGCCGCCCCCGGGCGCAGGUCCGGCUGGGGAGCGGAACGGCAUGGGAGGGCCGGCCGCAGCGGGUGACAGCCCCGUACGCGAACCCAGACCGGACGGCGCGACGCGGUCCCUGAGUAGGGCCGGGCACGUGAAACCCGGUCCGAACCUGGGUGGACCACCAUCCAAGCCUGAGUACUACCCUGUGACCGAUAGCGCACCAGUACCGUGAGGGAAAGGUGAAAAGCACCCCGGGAGGGGAGUGAAACAGUACCUGAAACCGUGCGCCCACGAGCAGUCGGAGCACCUUUAUGGUGUGACGGCGUGCCUUUUGUAGAAUGAGCCAGCGAGUCGCUGGCGCGGGGCGAGGUUAACCGAAAGGGAGCCGAAGCGAAAGCGAGCCUUAACAGGGCGACUUGAGUCCCGCGCCGCGGACGCGAAGCCGGGUGAGCUAUCCGUGGGCAGGCUGAAGCGGGGGUAAGACCCCGUGGAGGGCCGAACGCACGUCGGUUGAAAACGGCGGCGAUGACCUGCGGAUAGGGGUGAAAGGCCAAUCAAACCCGGAGAUAUCUCGUUCUCCCCGAAAUAGCUUUAGGGCUAGCGUCGCGCGUUCACCGCCGGAGGUAGAGCACCGGAUGGACGAGGGGGCUUCGCCGCCUACCGAAUCCAACCGAACUCCGAAUGCCGGCGGCCCAGAGCGCGGCAGUCAGAGCAUGUGGGCUAAGCUGUGUGCUCGAGAGGGAAACAGCCCGGACCGCCCGCUAAGGUCCCCAAGUUCCAGCCGAGUGGCAAAGGAUGUGCGUCCGCCCAGACAACCAGGAUGUUGGCUUAGAAGCAGCCAUCCAUUCAAAGAGUGCGUAACAGCUCACUGGUCGAGUGGACAUGCGCCGACAAUACACGGGGCUAAGCUGGACACCGAAGCGGCGGGAUUUUAAUUCAUUAGAAUCGGUAGGGGAGCUUCCCAUGGGCGGAGAAGCCGGAGGGCGACCGACGGUGGAGCGCAUGGGAGUGAGAAUGCUGGCAUGAGUAGCGAGAGACGAGAGAGUAACUCGUCCGCCGUGAACCCGAGGUUUCCUGGGCAAGGCUAAUCCUCCCAGGGUCAGUCGGGGGCUAAGGCGAGGCCGGGAGGCGUAGCCGACGCGCAGCAGGCAGACAUUCCUGCACCGCGCACGCGGCGCUACGACCGACGGGGCGACGGAUGGGGGUGGCUCGGCGGGGUUCUGGACGUCCCCGUGAUGGAGCGCGGCCCGCGGACCAGGGAAAUCCGGUCCGCACACAGGGCGAGGCUCCGGACGAAGCGACUGAGCGAAGCGAGUGAGCCCGAGGUCCCUAGAAAAACCCCUAGGCAGGCGCGUGCGCGCCCGUACCGCAAACCGACACAGGUGGGUGGGUAGAACAUACCGAGGCGAUCGGGUCAACCAUGGUCAAGGAACUCGGCACAAUGGCCCCGUAACUUCGGGAGAAGGGGUGCCCGCGCGUACGUGAACCGGCUUGCCCGGGGAGCGGAGGCGGGCCGCAGUGGAGAGGCCCAAGCGACUGUUUACCAAAAACACAGGACUCUGCAGAAGCCGCAAGGCGACGUAUAGGGUCUGACGCCUGCCCGGUGCCGGAAGGUCACGCGGAGGAGUUAGCGCAUUCGGCGAAGCCCCGAAGCCAAGCCCCGGUAAACGGCGGCCGUAACUAUAACGGUCCUAAGGUAGCGAAAUUCCUUGUCGGGUAAGUUCCGACCUGCACGAAAGGCGCAACGACUUGGGCGCUGUCUCGACCAUGGACCCGGUGAAAUUGCACUGGUCGUGAAGAUGCGACUUACCCGCGGAAGGACGGAAAGACCCCGUGAACCUUCACUGCAGCU
rnacentral:rRNA from 1 species